rnacentral:lncRNA from 1 species
AAAAAGUGAAAGAAGGAUGGUUGAAUUGAAGAGACUGGGUGAUACAAUAAUCUAGCCUCAGAAGACAAGGACAACAAUCAGGUUGCUGUCAGAGUAUAGAAAUGCGUGCACAAAACGAAAGAAAGUAAAAGCUAAGGAGGCUUCGAGGAAAGCGGGGAGAAGAAAAUACAUGGUGGUGGCUACCAAUAGUAAAAGAGAUCAAUUAGCUAGUCUGACCAGAGGUGGCAAUUAU